UAUACCGUAUUAAGUUAAUUGUGAGAUGUCUGAUUAGAUACACCGUCGAACAUUUAACUUUAGCUUUACUUAAAGCUUAUCUUAGUUACUCUAACAGCGUUCUCUCUUUUACCACAGCAUUUUCUACAUUGACCGACGAUAAAUAAAGUUAUAAGGUAUAUGUUCCCACUUUACUCUUCUGACCGAUGUCUCCAUCCUCGUGGAGUUUCGAGAGGCCCUGGAGAACAAAUUCAACACCAUUCUGAAGUUCUGCCAAGAAGUCAACUGUCAUCAAGGCGUGAAAGAUGUUUUGGCUUGUUUUGAACCGGAGGCUUCAGACAAGGCUACAUGCAUUCUUCUCCUUCUGAUGGCGUACUUCAAAGAGCCCAAGGAUGCUAUUGUGCUUGAUGUUGAUCCUUGUGCCACAGCCACUGAUGUAGAAGGGACUGUGAUGCUACCAAGCACCCCUCGCUUGAUUGUUCAAGGAUAUCUGGAAAAAAUGGACAUACUUUAAAGAACCACAAGAUGCCAUCAUGCUUGAGGCUGAC